ACGCUAAUACCGCAUACGAACUAAGGUUGAAAGUGGGGGAUCGCAAGACCUCAUGCUCAUGGAGUGGCCGAUAUCUGAUUAGCUAGUUGGUGAGGUAAAGGCUCACCAAGGCGACGAUCAGUAGCUGGUUUGAGAGAACGACCAGCCACACUGGAACUGAGACACGGUCCAGACUCCUACGGGAGGCAGCAGUGGGGAAUUUUGGACAAUGGGCGCAAGCCUGAUCCAGCAAUGCCGCGUGAGUGAAGAAGGCCUUCGGGUUG
rnacentral:rRNA from 1 species